UGUGUAGGCGGUUCUUUAAGUUUGGUGUGAAAUCUCCCGGCUCAACCGGGAGGGUGCGCCGAAUACUGAGGGACUAGAGUGUGGGAGAGGAAAGUGGAAUCCUGGUGUAGCGGUGAAAUGCGUAGAUAUCAGGAGGAACACCGGUGGUGUAGACGGCUUUCUGGACCAUAACUGACGCUGAGACACGAAAGCGUGGGUAGCAAAACA
rnacentral:rRNA from 1 species